rnacentral:rRNA from 1 species
CGGGGUGCAGCAGGCGCGAAAACUUCACAAUGGGAGAAAUCCCGAUGAGGGAAUUCCAAGUGCUAGCACUAUGUGUUAGCUGUUCUUUUGUCUAAAAAACAGAAGAAGUAAGGGCCGGGUAAGACGGGUGCCAGCCGCCGCGGUAAUACCCGCGGCCCGAGUGGUGGUCGAUAUUAUUGAGCCUAAAACGUCCGUAGCCGGUCUUGUAAAUCCUUGGGUAAAUCGGCCAGCUUAACUGUCCGAAGUCCGGGGAGACUGCAAGACUUGGGAUCGGGAGAGGUCAGAGGUACUUCUGGGGUAGGGGUAAAAUCCUGUAAUCCUGGAAGGACCACCGGUGGCGAAGGCGUCUGACUAGAACGAAUUCGACGGUGAGGGACGAAGCCCUGGGGCGCAAACGGGAUUAGAUACCCCGGUAGUCCAGGGUGUAAACGCUGCGGGCUUGGUGUUGGGGGUCCUUUGUGGGCGCCCAGUGCCGGAGAGAAGUUGUUAAGCCUGCUGCUUGGGGAGUACGUCCGCAAGGAUGAAACUUAAAGGAAUUGGCGGGGGAGCACAAGGGCGAAUCGCG